rnacentral:rRNA from 1 species
GACGAACGCUGGCGGCGUGCUUAACACAUGCAAGUCGAACGGUAAGGCCCUUCGGGGUACACGAGUGGCGAACGGGUGAGUAACACGUGGGUGAUCUGCCCUGCACUUCGGGAUAAGCCUGGGAAACUGGGUCUAAUACCGGAUAGGACCACUGCCUGCAUGGGUGGUGUGGAAAGCUUUUGCGGUGUGGGAUGGGCCCGCGGCCUAUCAGCUUGUUGGUGGGGUGAUGGCCUACCAAGGCGACGACGGGUAGCCGGCCUGAGAGGGUGACCGGCCACACUGGGACGGAGGUACGGCCCAGACUCCUACGGGAGGCAGCAGUGGGGAAUAUUGCACAAUGGGCGCAAGCCUGAUGCAGCGACGCCGCGUGAGGGAUGACGGCCUUCGGGUUGUAAACCUCUUUCAGCACCGACGAAGCGCAAGUGACGGUAGGUGCAGAAGAAGGACCGGCCAACUACGUGCCAGCCGCCGCCGUAA